GGUGGGCAUGCUGGGACAAAAGAGAGCAGCUGGGACACAAAGGCCCCAUUUAUUGAGAGUGAGACAUGAGGCCAGAGCGGACUCCGUGGGUGGCACAUGGUGUCAUAGCUGCUGAAAAGACCGGUGAGCUCAUUUGACCCGAUAUAGCCUCUGAAGCAUUUUUGGACCACAUGGCUCUUCAGCUCCACCCAUUUCACCUGUCCAAGAUCGAGCCCCUGGCCAGACCACUCCGUGAGUCGCCGUGGGGAUAGAAGAGCCCUUUAUUAGAGAUGGCACACAGGGGUCCUUCAUAAGGCACCACAUGGGCACUUUAUAACAUCUGACAUAAGCAUUUGAGAGUGUGGUUACCAAUGCUUGUGGUUGAUGCAUGUCUGAUGGAGUCCAGUCGUAUGGGGUUGGGAGGCUCGCUCUUACUCACUUUCUCUCCCCUUUCCACUGCCCUUCAACCAAGAGAAAAGGAGAAAGAAACAGACGGCGUAAACAUAAAAGCAGAACACGGAGAAAGGGGAAAAUCAAAAUCUAGUGAUGCUGGACCAUAAACACACAGAAGCAGUUGGAUAAACACCAUGAACUUCAUAUAAAAGCUCUGAGGGGGCUUUCGCUAAUAAUAAAAAAAGCUACUAAACUAUAUUAGCAUCAGAGGUGUUGGCUGACUUUAAUAAUGUGUUAUAAAAAGCAAUUCCCAACGCUGUGGGUGUUUUCUGAUCCUGUGCAAUCCUGUGCCCCUAUCGGUGUCUUUGUCACUACUUUCCAGAAAUAAAACUGAUGGCCGUCCA